rnacentral:rRNA from 1 species
GUGGGGAAUCUUAGACAAUGGGCGCAAGCCUGAUCUAGCCAUGCCGCGUGAGCGAUGAAGGCCUUAGGGUUGUAAAGCUCUUUCGUGGGGGAAGAUAAUGACUGUACCCCAAGAAGAAGCCCCGGCUGACUCCGUGCCAGCAGCCGCGGUAAUACGGAGGGGGCUAGCGUUGUUCGGAAUUACUGGGCGUAAAGCGCACGUAGGCGGACUGGAAAGUCAGGGGUGAAAUCCCGGGGCUCAACCCCGGAACUGCCUUUGAAACUCCCAGUCUUGAGUUCGAGAGAGGUGAGUGGAAUUCCGAGUGUAGAGGUGAAAUUCGUAGAUAUUCGGAGGAACACCAGUGGCGAAGGCGGCUCACUGGCUCGAUACUGACGCUGAGGUGCGAAAGCGUGGGGAGCAAACAGGAUUAGAAACCCGGGUAGUCC